GGCGUGGUAGCAAAGUGGUUACUGCGUGUGACUAGAAAUCACAUCUCUUCGGAGGCGUAGGUUCGAAUCCUGCCCACGUCG